AGUGAACGCUGGCGGUAGGCCUAACACAUGCAAGUCGAACGGCAGCACAGUAAGAGCUUGCGCUUACGGGUGGCGAGUGGCGGACGGGUGACGAAUACAUCGUAAUCUACUUUUUCGUGGGGGAUAACGUAGGGAAACUUACGCUAAGACCGCAUACCACCUACGGUUGAAAGCAGGGGAUAGUCGGACCGGGCGCGAAUGAAUGAGCCGAUGUCGGAUUAGCUAGUUGGCGGGGGAAAGGCCAACCAAGGCGACGAUUCGUAGCUGGUCUGAGAGGAUGAUACGCCACCCUGGAACUGAGCCACCGUCCCGGCUCCUACGGUACGCCGCAGUGGGGUAUAUUGGGCAAUGGGCGCAAGCAUGAUCCAGCCGUACCGCGUGGGUGACGACGGCCUUCGGGUUGUAAAGACCUUUUGUUGGGAAAGAAAAGCAGCCGGUUAAUACGCAGCUGUUCUGACGGUACCCAAAGAAUAAGCACCGGCUAACUUCGUG
rnacentral:rRNA from 1 species